CCUACGGGAUGCAGCAGUGAGGAAUAUUGGUCAAUGGACGAGAGUCUGAACCAGCCAAGUAGCGUGAAGGAUGACUGCCCUAUGGGUUGUAGACUUCUUUUAUAUGGGAAUAAAAUUUUCCAAGUGUAGGGUUUUGUAUGUACCAUAUGAAUAAAGAUCGGCUAACUCCGUGCCAGCAGCCGCGGUAAUACGGAGGAUCCGAGCGUUAUCCGGAUUUAUUGGGUGUAAAGGGAGCGUAGGUGGAUUGUUAAGUCAGUUGUGAAAGUUUGCGGCUCAAACGUAAAAUUGCAGUUGAAACUGGCAGUCUUGAGUACAGCAGAGGUGGGCGGAAUUCGUGGUGUAGCGGUGAAAUGCUUAGAUAUCACGAAGAACUCCGAUUGCGAAGGCAGUUCACUGGACUGCAACUGACACUGAGGCUCGAAAGUGUGGGUAUCAAACAGGAUUAGAUACCCGGGUAGUC
rnacentral:rRNA from 1 species